rnacentral:rRNA from 1 species
UACGUAGGGUGCAAGCGUUAAUCGGAAUUACUGGGCGUAAAGCGUGCGCAGGCGGUGAUGUAAGACAGGCGUGAAAUCCCCGGGCUCAACCUGGGAAUGGCAAUGGAUACUGGCAGGCUAGAGUGUGUCAGAGGAUGGUGGAAUUCCCGGUGUAGCGGUGAAAUGCGUAGAGAUCGGGAGGAACAUCAGUGGCGAAGGCGGCCAUCUGGGACAACACUGACGCUGAGGCACGAAAGCGUGGGGAGCAAACAGG